GCUCCGUAGGUGAACCUGCGGAGGGAUCAUUACAGAGUUCAUGCCCUACCGGGUAGAUCUCCCACCCUAUGUUAUUAUUACUUUGUUGCUUUGGCGGGCCGUUAGGCUCCGGCCCGACUACCGGCCCCGGCUGGUAAGCGCCCGCCAGAGGACCCAAAACCCUGAAUAUUAGUGUCGUCUGAGUACUAUAUAAUAGUUAAAACUUUCAACAGCGGAUCUCUUGGUUCUG
rnacentral:misc_RNA from 1 species